AGGACUGUGGCUCUGUGGGCAGAGUGCCUGCUUUCCAUGCAGAAAGAUCUAGGUUCAACUCUUGGCAUUUCUG